CAUUAAGUGACCGAAUU
rnacentral:tRNA from 2 species